GACGAACGCUGGCGGCGUGCUUAACACAUGCAAGUCGGACGAGUGGCGAACGGGUGAGUAACGCAUCGGAACGUACCGAGUAAUGGGGGAUAACUGUCCGAAAGGACAGCUAAUACCGCAUAGUAUUCGAGCGGCCGUUGUCUGAUUAGCUGGUUGGCGGGGUAAAGGCUCACCAAGGCGACGAUCAGUAGCGGGUCUGAGAGGAUGAUCCGCGACACUGGGACUGAGACACGGCCCAGACGCCUACGCGAGGCAGCAGUGUGGAAUUUUGGACAAUGGGCGCAAGCCUGAUCCAGCCGUGUAGCGGGCAGGACGACGGCCUAUGGGUUGUAAACUGCUUUUAUGCGGGGAUAGGUACCGCAUGAAUAAGGACCGGCUAAUUCCGUGCCAGCAGCCGCGGUAAUAC
rnacentral:rRNA from 1 species